GGGCCGUUAGCUCAGAUGGUAGAGCAGCGGACUUUUAAUCCGUUGGUCGGGAGUUCGAGUCUCCUACGGCCCA
rnacentral:tRNA from 2 species